rfam:Cricetulus griseus cell line CHO-K1, whole genome shotgun sequence.
CCAAAGGCUCUUUUCAGAGCCACCUACGAAAACACUGGGAGGAGCU